AAUUUUAGCACUCUAAAGGCAUGAGGCAUAGUUUCUCUUCAAACUCCAUUAGCAUAGGUAAGGUCCUAAAAUCUAAGUCCUUUUUCCAUUUUUGCAUUAGGUUCACACAAUCAAAACAAAACAAGCACAAUAGUAUAUACACAAUAAUGUGCUCAAGUGAGCAAAAGGCAAAUUGCAUUAACAUAAACAUGAGCUCAAGUGAGCAAAGGGCAAAAGCAAAUGAAUUAA
rnacentral:lncRNA from 1 species